rnacentral:rRNA from 1 species
GGGACAACCCGCCGAAAGGCGGGCUAAACCCGCGUACAUGCCACCGGGGCAUCCCGGAGGCAGGAAAGGCUUCGGCCGGACAGGGAUGGGCAUGCGGCGCAUUAGGCAGUAGGCGGGGUAACGGCCCACCUAACCGACGAUGCGUAGGGGUUCUGAGAGGAAGGUCCCCCACACUGGUACUGAGACACGGACCAGACUCCUACGGGAGGCAGCAGUGAGGAAUAUUGGUCAAUGGUCGGGAGACUGAACCAGCCAAGCCGCGUGAGGGAUGAAGGUACAGAGUAUCGUAAACCUCUUUUGUCAGGGAACAAAGGCGGGGACGUGUCCCCGGAUGAGUGUACCUGAAGAAAAAGCAUCGGCUAACUCCGUGCCAGCAGCCGCGGUAAUACGGAGGAUGCGAGCGUUAUCCGGAUUUAUUGGGUUUAAAGGGUGCGCAGGCGGUCUGUUAAGUCAGCGGUCAAAGCCCGGGGCUCAACCCCGGCCCGCCGUUGAAACUGGCAGUCUCGAGUUGGAGAGAAGUAUGCGGAAUGCGCGGUGUAGCGGUGAGAUGCAUAGAUAUCGCGCAGAACUCCGAUUGCGAAGGCAGCAUGCCGGCUCCACACUGACGCUGAGGCACGAAAGCGUGGGUAUCGAACAGGAUUAGAUACCCUGGUAGUCCACGCAGUAAACGAUGAAUGCAGGCUGUCCG